AGAUGGCUAACUGUGUACAUUGCGUUUGUGUACUGCAAGCUGAACUUACAGAUUUAUAUGGACUUUACUUACAGGUUUCCUGUGCUGUUUUGCUCCAUUUUACAGAACAAAAUAAGUGCUGAGGUAGCACCAUCCUUGUGGUUAUAGUGAAAGAAUGUGGGUAUUGAGACCAAAAUAAAUAAUGUGCCAUUCUGGACAAAAAGCUGUGGACAAUAUGCAGUCAGAGUAGCCUAUUUUCUCACACAGACCUGAGGAUAAGAUUUCCAGUUUGAAAAUGAGGAGCAACCAGUAAGAAAAAGCAAAAAGAUGUUUUGAUGUUGCCUGAGGCACCUUAUUCACAUCAGUCAAUUUCUUCCAAUAAUGAAUCAAGAAAUCCUGGAGUGGAGAAUCAUUCUGAAAGUAGACCAAAUCCAGGACAACACCACAGCAGUGGUUGGAAAAAUGCAGCAGACAAUGAGCAAGCCAAGCUGACUUUCAAAAGAUGAUUCGUUAUCUGUUUCUUCAAAGGGGAGGCAGUUUGGGAGAUGGGAAAUAGGAGGAUGCUACAGUUACACAGGGCGAAUUUCAGCAGCUCAGUUUCACACUUGCAACUAACAAUGAAUUAUAGUUAGAAGACAACGGAAAUAUUUGACAUCGGAGUCCAGCAGACAGCCAGAGACACGCACACACACGGAGCUGAAGCGCGUUUGACUGACGUGUACGGGAGAUCAGGCACGCGCACGGGAGCUGAAGCGCGUUUGACUGACGUGUACGGGAGAUCAGGCACGCGCACGGGAGCUCACGCACGCACACACAAACACGGAGCACAGGAAAAUUACAACUGUUCAAUUAAAAUAAAAGAACUUUGUGGUAAACAAUG